rnacentral:rRNA from 1 species
GACGAACGCUGGCGGCGUGCUUAACACAUGCAAGUCGAACGGAAAGGCCCUGCUUUUGUGGGGUGCUCGAGUGGCGAACGGGUGAGUAACACGUGAGUAACCUGCCCUUGACUUUGGGAUAACUUCAGGAAACUGGGGCUAAUACCGGAUAGGAGCUCCUGCUGCAUGGUGGGGGUUGGAAAGUUUCGGCGGUUGGGGAUGGACUCGCGGCUUAUCAGCUUGUUGGUGGGGUAGUGGCUUACCAAGGCUUUGACGGGUAGCCGGCCUGAGAGGGUGACCGGCCACAUUGGGACUGAGAUACGGCGCAGACUCCUACGGGAGGCAGCAGUGGGGAAUAUUGCACAAUGGGCGGAAGCCUGAUGCAGCAACGCCGCGUGCGGGAUGACGGCCUUCGGGUUGUAAACCGCUUUCGCCUGUGACGAAGCGCGAGUGACGGUAAUGGGUAAAGAAGCACCGGCUAACUACGUG